GACGAACGCUGGCGGCGUGCUUAACACAUGCAAGUCGAACGGAAAGGCCCUGCUUUUGUGGGGUGCUCGAGUGGCGAACGGGUGAGUAACACGUGAGUAACCUGCCCUUGACUUUGGGAUAACUUCAGGAAACUGGGGCUAAUACCGGAUAGGAGCUCCUGCUGCAUGGUGGGGGUUGGAAAGUUUCGGCGGUGGGGGAUGGACUCGCGGCUUAUCAGCUUGUUGGUGGGGUAGUGGCUGCCCAAGGCUUUGACGGGUAGCCGGCCUGAGAGGGUGAACGGCCACAUUGGUCCUGCGAUACGGCCCAGACUCCUACGGGAGGCAGCAGUGGGGAAUAUUGCACAAUGGGCGGAAGCCUGAUGCAGCAACGCCGCGUGCGGGAUGACGGCCUUCGGGUUGUAAACCGCUUUCGCCUGUGACGAAGCGUGAGUGACGGUAAUGGGUAAAGAAGCACCGGCUAACUACGUG
rnacentral:rRNA from 1 species